GAUGAAGAACGCAGCGAAAUGCGAUACGUAAUGUGAAUUGCAGAAUUCAGUGAAUCAUCGAAUCUUUGAACGCACAUUGCACUCUCUGGUAUUCCGGAGAGUAUGCUUGUUUGAGUAUCUGUAAACAUCUCAAAUCUCUCUUCAAUUGCUUCAAUUGGGUCGAGAGAAGUGGAUUUGAGCGAUCCCGACUCCUUCGUCAGAAAGAGGAGGGUCGCUUGAAAUGCAGGUGCAGCUGGACAUUCUUCUGAGCAAAAAGCAUAUCUAUUUAGUCCCGUCAAACGGAUUAUUACUUUUGCUUCAGCUAAUAUAAAGGUUGAAUGAACUACCAACGCUGAUUGCAGGAAAACAUGUUCGUUUAUUCGGACUUGUAAACUCGAUCUCAAAUCAAGUAAGACUACCCGCUGAACUUAAGCAUAUCAAUAAGCGAGGA
rnacentral:misc_RNA from 1 species